rnacentral:rRNA from 1 species
UACGAAGGGGGCUAGCGUUGCUCGGAAUGACUGGGCGUAAAGCGCGUGUAGGUGGUGGGACAAGUCUGCUGUGAAAGCGCCUGGCUUAACCGGGCGAGGUCGGCGGAAACUGUCCGACUCGAGGACGGUAGAGGGGGGUGGAAUUCCCGGUGUAGUGGUGAAAUGCGUAGAGAUCGGGAGGAACACCUGUGGCGAAGGCGGCCCCCUGGGCCGGCCCUGACACUGAGACGCGAAGGCGUGGGGGAGCGAACGGG